GACGAACGCUGGCGGCGUGCUUAACACAUGCAAGUCGAACGGAAAGGCCCUGCUUUUGUGGGGUGCUCGAGUGGCGAACGGGUGAGUAACACGUGAGUAACCUGCCCUUGACUUUGGGAUAACUUCAGGAAACUGGGGCUAAUACCGGAUAGGAGCUCCUGCUGCAUGGUGGGGGUUGGAAAGUUUCGGCGGUUGGGGAUGGACUCGCGGCUUAUCAGCUUGUUGGUGGGGUAGUGGCUUACCAAGGCUUUGACGGGUAGCCGGCCUGAGAGGGUGACCGGCCACAUGGGGCGGGGGAGAGGGCCGGGGCUCAUCGGGGAGGGAGGAGGGGGGAAUUUUGCAAAAUGGGCGGAGUCCUGGGGGAACAACCCCGGGUGGGGGAGGACGGCCUUGGGGUUGAAAACCGGUUUCGCUUGGGCCGAAGCGUGGGGGCCGGAAAUGGGAAAAAAGGCCCCGGCAAACUAGGG
rnacentral:rRNA from 1 species